rnacentral:rRNA from 1 species
AUUGAACGCUGGCGGCAGGCCUAACACAUGCAAGUCGAGCGAGCGGCGCACGGGUGAGUAAUGUAUGGGUACUGUCCGUUAGAGGGGGAUAACUACUGGGAAAGGUAGCUAAUAACGCAUACUAUAGGAUAACCCCUAUGGGAUUAGCUUGUAGGUGAGGUAAUGGCUUCCCUAGGCGACGAUCACUAGCUGGUCUGAGAGGAUGAUCAGCCAGACUGGGACUGAUGCGAGGCCGAGACUCCUACGGAGGCAGGAGUGGGAAAUAUUGGAGAAUGGGCGCAAGCCGGAUGCAGCCAUGCCGCGUGUAUGAUGAAGGCCUUGGGGUUGUAAAGUACUUUUGGCAGAGAAGCGGUAUCUGGAGAAGAAGCACCGGCUAACUACGUGCCAGCAGCCGCGGUAAUAC